GUGGUCAUAUCAUGUUGAAACACUGGUUACUGCACACUGAAGUUAAGCAAUGUUGAGCCUGGUCUGUACCUAGAUGGGGGACCACUUGAAAAUACCAGGUGCUGUAA